rnacentral:lncRNA from 1 species
UUCCCAAAGCCACACAGCUUACCGUUUGUCCAGCCAACCGGCUCCUCUCCCUCCCCCAGCCCGUCUCCUGCAGGCGGAAUCAGUCAUUUCUAUUGCCCUUGCUUAUAUCACUUUGCUUGCCUGUGCCCCAUUAGGCUGGGAGCUCCCUAAAAGCAGCCCCAGAUUCAGGCUUCUUGUUCUUCAGAGCCCAGCACACGGUGGUCACUCAGUGACCCUUCGUCCGAUGGUGAAUGUCUAAGGAAACAGUGAGUGGCUGGCGUGACUGCACACAGUCAACCGAUACCCAAGACCAUCUUCAUGCUUCCUCGGCGACAUGGCUUCACCAGAGAGGCUGCAUCUAACAGGUGUCGAAACCAUACCGAGAAGGAAAGGUGCUCCCAUGACUCACACUAGCACCGUAAAAGAAGUGCCCAGCAGCGGGAGUCCUGAUAAAAACACUGUGUAUUUCAUAACGCGGAAGAAAGGAAUUCACUCCGUGUUCAGAGGCAUGGUGUCGGGCAAUCUAGAAGACCAGCUUUUAACAACCUGGGCCUGAUCCACCAGCUCACACGUGAGUGGGUUCUUCUGCAGAAAUAGCACCAGGAACAUGAAGAAACAGCUGUUUCUGAAACUGUUGGAGCCACGUGGUGUUGUCCCUGCUACUGUGUGCUGUUCCUACGUUUCCCGGAAGAGGCGUAGGACGUGGCAGCCAGUCACAGAAGCCUUGACUCUAAAGAGGAUUUUUAAAUACAGAACUCGGACACAGCCCCUUGACUUCAAGUACAUCCAGUGCCUUCUCCCAAAGCAUCUGGUCUCCUGAGACAGCUGCAACCUGCAGCAAAGCUGUCAGGAAUGAGGGCCACGUGCGGCUCAUCUGGGCCCGGCCAGGGGAGAACAGACAGCCUGAGUCAGGGCUUGCCAUGACGUCAAGUGAGGAUGGCCACCGGAGCCGCCCCGCACACCCCUGACUGAGCUAUUCUGGGUCACAGACACCAACAUCCCAGCAGGAUCAGGACCUGAGAGAGGGGCUCUAGACAGAAAUGGGCCCAUCGCUUGACAGAAACGACAACACAGCGCUGGAGACAGUGAAACUCUCUGACCACCACCGGCUCCACCAGGACUGUAGGCAAAACUGGGCACUUCUGGGUCAGGAAGCCACCCACAGCCGGGGGUGCGUGACUAGUCUGGCUUGUGACUGAGGGCUGCCCCUCGGGAGAACCUGCAUUUCUGAGCACACUCGCUUCCAUGUAAUGUGCGGUAGGGCUUGUUCCCUGGCCUGGUGAGAUGGGGAGGAGGGGGUUGUAAAUGGGGAAGGACACAAGGCCCGGGGCAUUUGGUACCCAGACUCUGCCAGCACUCACACACCAGCAAGGCCAACAGGAUGACUCAGUGUGAUUCAGGUUUUCAGUGGCUGCAAAACCAGCCCACCAAGCACUUCUCCACUCACCCUGCCAAUGAAUGGGCGUCCUUUCCCUGUCCCCAGGCCAGGUCACUACCAGUGGCAGGCAAGGGAAGGAGUCAGCAGGUCACCACGGUUCAGCAAGCACUGGGCACCCAAGUGCUAGGGAGGAAGGGAUGAAUUCCCAAGACACGACGCACAGAUUCGGGCAGACUUCCAGCUUCUAGGCCAAACCAGGGAGAAGCAGGAGCCGAGCACAGCUCCUGGUGCAGCCCCACAGUGGCCCACGGGGGCUGCUUCCUGUUCCUCCUGCACUGGCCACAGGCCACCAGGAGCUGCUUGCUUGCUGUUCCAGCCUGGAGCAAAGACAGAGCUCAGGGCUGCCAGGAGCACAAGAGCUGGGCGAGGCCAGGAAGCAUCUGGGUAGUGCGGUUGUAUCCAGAAGCAGCUGGGGGCUGAUCAGGGGGAGCACGCAGCCCUCCGAUUGCAGGGCUGCCUAUUUGAGUGGCAGCUCCUCUUAGAAACAAUGCAGAACAAGCCCAGGGCCCCACAGAAAAGGGCACUGCCCUUCCCAGAACUUGAGCUCCGGGACUACGCAUCUGUUCUCACCAGAUACAGCUUGGGGCUGAGGAACAAAGAGCCUUCCCUGGGCCACAGGUGGGGGACCCAGAGGCUGGGCAGGAGCCCCUGUUCUGAAGGGUCCCAGGCCCACACCACAGAUGCUGCUGACGUGCAGAACCACUCUAAAGAAGAACAGAGAGACGCAGGAGCACAGAGGAGGUGCGGCCAGGGGAGGCACACCUGGGCGUAGCCAGGGAGGGGCGCAGGACACUUCGAGGCUGACAGGAGACCCACGUGGUGGGGAAAGGAGCCCCCCAAAGUGUCAGAGCAUGAAGCAGCAGGAAGGAGCUCCCUCGGGCCACUGCUGGGAUCAGUGGUGCCAUGGAGCAAGCGAGGAGUUGUUUGGCCUGAAAGCCGGAAGCGUGCCCAAAUCUUUGCAUCACCAUGUAGGCAGUCACCUCGCUCCUCAGCACUCGGGGCAGGACAGAAGCUUGCUGUCUGCUCACCAGACAUCCUGUGCUGCCCUACAGACACCUUGCUCGCCAGCCAUCCCCACUCACUUCUGACCGGGACCCAAUUCUCUGGCCAAACCCAGGCUCUAGCACCGUCUUGGUGCUGCUUGAGAAACAUCUAGUUUAAGUCAAAAUCCAAUGUCUUUUUAAUAUAUAGACUAUAUGUACCUAUGGACUAGAGGUGAAUAUAUAUACAUCAUAUCAAAUUCAAGUGACCCAGUAUUUCAGGAGAACCCACUAUGUCCCCAGCCUGCAUGGGAAGCUGGGGAUUCUGGCAUGAACUGCACCUUAUCCUUCCCUCGAGCAGCUCAUUCGAGAGUCAGCAACCCCAUCAGAAAACCAAACACCACAUGUUCUCACUCAUAAGUGGGAAUUGAACAAUGAGAACACAUGGACACAGGGAGGGGAACA